UACGAGGGGUGCAAGCGUUGCUCGGAAUUAUUGGGCGUAAGGGUAGGUAGGUGGUCUCGUUUGUCUGGGGUGAAAGCCUUGAGCUUAACUCAAGAAGUGCCCUAGAAACGGCGAGACUGGAGUCUUGGAGAGGGUCGUGGAAUUCCCGGUGUAGCGGUGAAAUGCGUAGAGAUCGGGAGGAACACCAGAGGCGAAGGCGGCGACCUGGACAAGUACUGACACUCAACUACGAAAGCGUGGGGAGCAAACAGG
rnacentral:rRNA from 1 species